rnacentral:misc_RNA from 1 species
ACCCCCUCCCCCCUUCCCACGCCCUCCACCCUCCACCACACGCGCGCGCAUCGACAAGGUAUUCCACGCCUACUUCCUCUUCUCUCCAUCAUUCCGCGUCUUCCCCCCCCCCCCCCCCCCCGCACAGUGGCAUUUGGCGGUAACCCCUCUUCCUGACCUCCCUUCUCGUUUUUUCAUCGCCAUUCACCCGCGUCGUUGCUUCUCACCCUGCAUCCUCGUCGACGCGUCGCGCAGAACCGUUCGCGUAGCGCGCCUCACUCCUCCGUGCAUCCUUCCCUUCGGUUUAUCGGUGCGCACCAGCCCAGCCCAGCGCAGCCCCGCCCCGCCUUCGGACGCGCGCAUCUAUCUGCGGGACGGGCCGCCGUGAGCUGAGCAUACCACCAUGCACAGUGCUGUCACUUGCAUCAAGAGCCCGGGCGCGGCUCUCUUCACCGACACUGCCACCUGCCGCACCAUCACGUUGAGCCGGCCCGAUGCGUUGAACGCCAUGUCGUUGCCGAUGGUGCAGGACCUGCAUCGCCUGUACAUCACAGAGCCGCACCCGAACGAGGAUGCCGUGUACGUUGUGCGCGGUGACGGGCGGCGCAGCUUCUGUGCUGGUGGCGACCUGAAGGCCCUCACAGGACCCGAGAAAGACACGCACAACCCGCUGUUCUACCGCCUGGAGUACGAGGUGGACUCGCACAUUGCGGUGAUGCGGCGCACGCAGGUGACGAUGUGGGCGGGGCACGUGCUGGGGAGCGGCGUGGGCGUGUCGGUGCACAGCCGUUACCGCGUUGCGUGCGAGACGACGCGGUUCGCGAUGCCGGAGACGCAGAUCGGCGGCGCGAACGACGUUGCGACGAGCUGGGUGUUCUCGUCGCUGCCGAUAUGCGGGCUUGGCAUGUACCUUGCGAUCACGGGCAACACGCUGCAAGGCGCGGACGUGUUCCACGCGGGCCUGGCGACGCACUACAUCCCUGUGGAGAAGUUCGGCGCUGUGGAGGCUGCGCUGGCGGCGCUGCCGUCGUCGGAGGGCGUCGAGGAGUGCCUCCGAGGGUUCAGCGAGGACGUUGCUGUGCCGCCGUUCACGCUGGCGGAGAACGCGCCUGUGCUGGCGAAGGCGUUCGGCGCGAUCACUCCGUCGACGCACCUGCGCGACAUCAUGGAUGUGCUGCGCGCGGACGGCAGCGCGUUCGCUGCGAGCACGCUGAAGGUGAUGGAGCGCAACUCGCCGCUGGGCAUGACGCUUGCGCUGGAGAACAUGAAGCGGCAGCACACACCUGGGUGCAACACCGUGAUGGAGAGCUUCCGUGGCGACUACACGGCGAUUCAGACUUCCAUUUGUGUGGAUGAGCUGGCGAAGGGCGUGGAGGCGCUGUUUGUCACGAAGGAGAAGCGCCCGCAGUGGACGGUGGGGUCCGUGGACGAAGUCGAUGUGGAGCUCGUGAAGCAGCAGUUUGUUAUGACGGAGAGCACGGUGCCCUUGUAGGAAAGGCUCGUCUCACAUAUUCGCGGCUCUGUAGGCGUCGACCUUUCUUUGCCACGAGUGCUGUGCCGGCGCCUUGAUGCCGCAUUGUGCGUGUACACGUGUGGAGUGUGACUGUGGGCGUGUUGGCACUGCAGAAGGUAAAGGACGGUCUUGCUUACGGGGGACCUGCGGCCGGCUCGGCGUGUGCGUUUCCGUUUCAGCUUGCGGGCGCGAGGCCGCGGUUGUGGGGUGUUCACACGCUACCUCUUCUGUGCUUUUUUUUUCGUAUUCGGUGCAUAUGGGCUAAGCCACCUCCGCACAGUCUACAGCUUAGUGUGUGUAUGCGCUUGGUUUUGUUUUCACGUCUUCGAGUUUAUUGGAUCGGUUGUGGCUGGGCUCUUGUUUCCGGAGAGGAUGCCCUCGCCGAGGGUUAAGGGCACCGCUUCCCACAGAGGGAUGAUGUGCGUCUCAUUUUUGUUCACCGGCUUCCGCUUGGCCUCUUCUGCGCUGUCGCUCACUUCCGCACCCUCUCCCCCAUCUCUCCUGUCCUCCUGCACCCUCCAGUUAUGCUUCGCGUGCGCGCACUGCGGUAGAGUGUGAAGGGUACGCGCAUGCGUGCGAGCCGAAGAGCUGGAGGGAAGGGGGAGCAAGUGAGAAGGAUGGCAGAUGAAGUGGGUAGGGCGCGAGGCGAGGAGUGCUAAGCGUCCAGGCGUCCUUUGUUUUUGUUUUUUACUUUGUGCUUGUGCUUUUCUUCUUUCCGCUAGGGCAUUCAUCCGCUAUACUUCUCCGCGUCAGACGCCGCCCUCGCCUUCUUUUCGUGUUUUGGAAUGCAGUCACGGACAUCUGCAUGCCACACAUCUCCGCGCGCACGAGCGCGCGCACAUAUAAAAUGAUCCGCACGACUGCUGGCGUGCAGGCUUGCGGUGUACUCUUUUCUCUCCGCCUUUUCUCAGGUCUUCCCCUCUUCCCCUCUUCCUGUCUUGCCUUCGAUGCAUCUUUCUCUUUUUGGGCCUCUCGUUUUAACUUGCUCUCUUUGUCUUUAUAUUUGUUUCUCUCCCCGGCUACUCCCCCUCUCGCUCCCUUGCUCGCACGGCGUCGAUGUCCUGGUGCCGUGGUGUGGCAGGUGGCCACGCCUGUUCAUCGGCCUCAGCAAAUAGCUUCCUCGCCUAUCCCUAGUUUUCCCCAUCUCGCUAUCCACGGCAGAACCACCACCUCCCUCCCCCUUACCGAUGUCUGCGGCGGUGGAGAGGUGGUAAAAUGAGGGGCAAAAAGGCAGAACAACAAAUGCGUACGUGGCACAAGGAUGAUGAUGUGGUGGUGGGUCUCGCACCGCGAGUGCAGCGCUGCGUCUCUCUCUCUCUGAAGCUUUUUAACCGACUUUUUCCUGUCACUUUUACGUCUUGUACUCUCUCGUUGUGCACGCAG